ACCUUGGGGAACCUGAUGACUUUGGAGAACCUGAUGUGAAGACAUAUCUGAUUAUAUGUCUUGGGGUUGUUCUUUUUAUGGAGUAUCUUACUGGGGUUCUCUGCAUUUCCUGAAUUUGAAUCUUGACCUGUCCUGAUAAUUUGGGGGAGUUCUCCCGUAUGAUAUCCUAAAGUAUGUUUUCCAACUUGAUUCCAUUCCCCCCGUCUCUUUCAGGUACCCUGAUCAGACAUAGGUUUGGUCUCUUUACAUGGUUUCAUAUUUCUUGGAGGUUUUAUUCAUUCCUUUUUGUUCUUUUUUAUCUGUUAUUGUCUGCCUGUCUUAUUUUGGAAAGAUAGUCUUCAAUCUCUGAGAUUUUACCCUCCGCUUGGUCUAUUCUGCUAUUGAUACUUGUGAUUGCAUUGUGAAGUUCUCCUGUUCUGUUUUUCACUUCUAUCAGGUCUGUUAUGUUCCUCUGUAAGCUGACUGUUGUGGCUGUCAGCUUUUGUAUUGUCUUAUCAUGAUUCUUAGCUUCUUUGCAUUGGGUUACAACAUGCUCCUUUAGCUCAGUGAAGUUUGUUAUUACCUACCUUUCAAAGCCUAUUUCUGUCAGUUCAGCCAUCUCAGCAUCAGACCAGUUACGUGCUUUUGCUGGAGAGGUGUUGCAGUCAUUUGGAAAAGAGGUUUUUGAGUUUUCAGCAUUUUUGUGUUGAUUCUUUCUCAUCUUUUUGGGCUUAUCUACCUUUGAUCUUUGAGAUUGCUGACCUCUGAGGUUUUUGUGAGGUCUUUUUGUUGAUAUUUUUGUUUUUUGUUUGUUUGUUUUUCUUUUAGUAGUCUGGCCACUCUACUGUAGGGCUGCUGUGGUUUGCCGGGGGUUCUCUCCAGACCCCAGUUGCCUUGGUUUCUCCCAUACCUGGAGGUAUCAGCAGUGAACACCAUGAAACAGCAAAGAUGGCAGGCAGAUCCUUCCUCUGGAAGCUCUGUCCUACGGGGUACUUACCUGUUGUUGGCCUGCACACAUCUUUAAGCGGUGGCUGGAGACUCCUUGUUGGGAGAUCUCAACCAGUCACCUGCCAAAAGAAGCAGUCUGGCUGCUUUUUUGUAGAGCACGUGUGCUACAUUGAGGGGGACCCUUCCUUGCUGGACUGCCUGUAUUCUCCAAAGCCAGCAGGCUGGAGAACCGCCGAUCAGGCAGUCACCCCUCACCCUUGGAACUCGGUCCCAGUGAGAUAGCAAAACUCUGUUCUUAGAACCAUUAGCCAGUGUAUUUCUACACAACAUGAAUGCUUGAAGUGUUACUGGGUAAAAGUACUGGGUGUACUUAGUAAAAUUUGUAUUUUCAUAAUAAUAUUAAUUUGUUUUAUUCUGUUUGAAGGUGUGCUGUUUAGUGAGGCAGGGAAACAUCUUAGAAAGAGUUUGACUUAGAUUUAUCUGUUAAACACAGCUAUCUUUUAACUGUUUGAAAAACUCUUAUAUUACAGAAAAAUUAAGAACGGUUUAUGAUAGCUAGAUUUCAUUAUUUUAUUGAAAAAUACCUUUCUGCCUGUGGAUGCCACUGAAGAAGCAUUGUUAAUGUCUCUCUUCUCCCCGUAAUCGUGUCUAAGUCAGAGUCUCCUGAAGAGCCCGAACAGCUGAGAAAGCUGUUUAUUGGAGGGUUGAGCUUUGAAACAACUGAUGAGAGUCCGAGGAGCCAUUUUGAGCAAAAGGGAAGGCUCACAGACUGUGUGGUAAUGAGAGAUCCAAACACCAAGCACUCCAGGGGCUUUGGGUUCCUCAUGUAUGCCACUGUGGAGGAGUUGGAUGCAGCCAUGAAUGCAAGGCCACACAACGUGGAUGGAAGAGUUGUGGAACCAAAGAGAGCUGUCUCAAGAGAAGAUUCUCAAAGACCAAGUGCCCCCUUAACUGUGAAAAAAAUAUUUGUUGGUGGCAUUAAAGAAGACACUGAAGAACAUCACCUAAAAGAUUAUUUUGAACAGUAUGGAAAAAUUGAAGUGAUUGAAAUCAUGGCUGACCUUGGCAGUGGCAAGAAAACGGGCUUUGCCAUUGUAACCUUUGAUGACCAUGCCUCCGUGGAUAAAACUGCCAUUUAGAAAUACCAUACUAUGAAUGGCCACAACUGUGAAGUUAGGAAAGUCCUAUCAAAGCAAGAGAUGGCUAGUGCUUCAUCCAGCCAAAGAGGCUGAAGUGGUUCUGGAAACUUUGGUGGUGGUCAUGGAAGUGGAUUUGGUGGGAAUGACAACUUUGGUCUUGGAAGAAACUUCAGUGGUUGUGGUGGCUUUGGUGGCAGCUGUGGCGGUGGUGGAUAUGGUGGCGGUGGGGAUGGCUACAAUGAAUUUGGUAGUGAUGGAAGCAACUUUGGAAGUGGUGGAAGCUACAAUGAUUUUGGCAAUUACAACAAUCAGCCUUCAAAGUUUGGACCCAUGAAAGGAGGAAACUUUGGAGGCAGAAACUAUGGCCCCUAUGGUGGUGAUGGCCAAUACUUUGCCAAACCAUGAAACCAAGGUCACUGUGGCGGUUCCAGUAGCAGUAGUAGCUAUGACAGUGGCAGAAGAUUUUAAUUAGGAAACAAAGCUUUAGCAGGAGAGGAGAGCCAGAGAAGUGACAGGGAAGCUACAGGUUGCAACAGAUGCAUAGCUACUACAAAGAAGACAUGAGUUUGACAAAUACUCAUGUGUAUGGGCAAAAAAUUCGAGGACUGUAUUUGUGACUAAUUGUAUAACAGGUUAUUUUAGUUUCUGUUCUGUGGAAAAUUUUUUUUUUUUGCACCCAUGCUGUUGAUUGCCAAAUGUAAUAAUCUGAUCAUGACACUGAAUAAAUGUCUUUUUUUUUU